UGGGGAAUUUUACGCAAUGGGCGAAAGCCUGACACAGCGACACCGCGUGAGCGAAGAAGCCCCUUGGGGUGUAAAGCUCUGUCAGCUGGAACGAAAACAAUGACGGUACCAGCAAAGGAAGCAUCGGCUAACUACGUGCCAGCAGCCGCGGUAAGACGUAGGAUGCAAGCGUUGUCCGGAUUUAUUGGGCGUAAAGAGUUCGUAGGCGGUUCGUUAAGUCUGAUGUUAAAGAUCGGGGCUCAACCCCGGGAGUGCAUUGGAUACUGGCAAACUGGAGUGCGGUAGAGGUAAGUGGAAUUCCCAGUGUAGCGGUGAAAUGCGUAGAUAUUGGGAAGAACACCAGUGGCGUAGGCGACUUACUGGGCCGUAACUGACGCUGAGGAACGAAAGCCAGGGUAGCGAAUGGGAUUAGAUACCCCCGUAGUCC
rnacentral:rRNA from 1 species